rnacentral:misc_RNA from 1 species
AGAGUGUUGAGUAAUCUUGUUUUAGCAAUUGGGCUUACUUAUCUUACUAUGACUGGUCAGCUAGGUUGGAUCUUGGAUGCUAUUGUUUCUGUUUGGCUCCUUGCAGUUCUACUUCCAAUUUUAGGUUUGGGAGCUUUUAUUUGGUGGGCUGGACGAGAUAUUGUUCAAAGCGCUUGCCCAAACUGCGGGAAUGAAUUUCAAAUUUUCAAGUCUACUUUAAAUGAUGAGGUUCAGCUUUGCCCUUUCUUAGAACGAGUACUGAAAUCACCAAAUGCUUGACCAAAUGUAGUUGACUGGUUGGAGAACGUUACUGGG